UCGCCGUCAAGUCGCAGGACACCGAGGCGGCCAUCGACGUGCUGGCGGCGCUCGCCGGCCCCGACACGGUGGUGGUGUCCUUACAGAACGGCAUGAAUCCGCCGCGCCUGGCCGAGCGGCUCGGCGCCGAUCGCGUGCUCGGCGUCUUCGUGAGCUUUCCCGCCGACUGGCAGGGUCCCGGGCACAUCGAGCACGGCGGCCCGGGCAAUGUCUGGGUGGGCGAGCUCGACGGCCGGCGCACGGAGCGCGUGGAGCGGGUGAGGGCGCUCCUGGCCCACGUGGCCACUGCGCAUGUCACCGACAAUAUCG
rnacentral:misc_RNA from 1 species